UAAAAGGAAAGGUUUAAACCAGGUAGGAAGGCAGUUCAGGAGCAACAGCACAUCUACAGCCAACAUGACCAACAUGAACAUGAGGGGAAAGAUUACUUUCUACGAGGAGAGGAACUUCCAGGGUCGUUCCUAUGAGUGCAUGAGCGACUGCCCUGAGCUGACCUCCUACCUGAGCAGGUGCCAGUCCUGCAGGGUGGAGAGCGGCUGCUUCAUGGUCUACGACCGCCCCAACUACAUGGUAAAC